rnacentral:rRNA from 1 species
AAAACGACUCUCGGCAACGGAUAUCUCGGCUCUCGCAUCGAUGAAGAACGUAGCGAAAUGCGAUAMUWGGUGWGAAWUGCAGAAUCCCGUGAACCAUMGAGUCUUUGAWAGCAAGUUGCGCCCGAAGCCGUCAGGCCGAGGGCACGUCUGCCUGGGCGUCACGC